GCUGGCGGCAGGCCUAACACAUGCAAGUCGAGCGGUAGCACAGAGAGCUUGCUCUCGGGUGACGAGCGGCGGACGGGUGAGUAAUGUCUGGGAAACUGCCUGAUGGAGGGGGAUAACUACUGGAAACGGUAGCUAAUACCGCAUAACGUCGCAAGACCAAAGUGGGGGACCUUCGGGCCUCAUGCCAUCAGAUGUGCCCAGAUGGGAUUAGCUAGUAGGUGGGGUAACGGCUCACCUAGGCGACGAUCCCUAGCUGGUCUGAGAGGAUGACCAGCCACACUGGAACUGAGACA
rnacentral:rRNA from 1 species